UCUAGAAUGCACCCCUCUUCCUCCCCGGGGCCUUCCACCUCCGCGAGUUUUAUGACUUAAAAAAGCCCACAGGCUGGUCUGAAGAGGAAGACAAACAUAAAGAUGAAGUGCUUAAUUCAAGGUCACACAAUGUCGGGGAUGGACCUCCAGAUUUCCUUACUGACCUGCAUUAUCUUGUGGAUACCUGAGUGAAUUCCACACCACCCAUUUUAUAGAUGAAACCACUGAGACAUGGAGCAAUUGACUGAGUAGUCACUGCCCCACCCCUGCCUGGAGCCUCACACAUGACUCGCCUCCUCUCAGUGACCACAGGUGAGACGUGGUCUUGUAACACAGUGGUUAAGAAUGUGACUUUGGAGCCAGCCUGCUAGGGGCUGAAUUCUGACUCAGCCAUUUACUAACUGUGUGACCUUAGUCUCACUGUUGCUCAGGCUGGAGUGCAAUGGCAUGAUCUCGGCUCAUCACAACCUCUGCUUCCUGGGUUCAAGCGAUUCUCCUGCCUCAGCCUCCCGAGUACCUGGGACUACAGGCACUCGCCACCAUGCCCGGCUGAUUUUUGUAUUUUUAAUAGAGAUGGUUUCACUAUGUUGGCCAGGCUGGUCUCGAACUCCUGACCUUGUGAUCUGCCCACCUCAGCCUCGAAAAGUGCUGGGAUUACAGGCGUGAGCCACUGCGCCCAGCCUUGUAUUUUUUUUCAGUUUGGGUAGCUGUCCCUAAUUCAUUUGUUAAAGGAGAAGCAAGAGCAAGAACCUUUAAUCUGUUCUCCUCUUCCCUAAUUUGAAAGUAGCUUGUUAUUUUGAAUAUCACUUUCUCUGAAAUAGCACAUCUCCAUCUCAGAGAAUGGAUUUAAUGUUUGGAUACAGCCAAAAGUCAUUUCAUUACCAAACCAUGGGGUGAAUAUACCAUGUAAAGCAGUUUGGGAUCAGAACUCACAGUCUGAAUUGUAAGUGAUGAGACUGCUGUCUCUCUGCUACAGCUUCUUGGCUGGCUCUGAAGGCUCUUUGAAGGCAGAUCCUAACAAGGGGACUGCUUUGAAGGGCCAUUGUUCAUUUGGAAUGAUAAAGUCUAUGUUGUUCAAAAAACAAAUGCUUGUAGCAGGUAUUUUUUCACUCCAGACUGAGAAUAUUGGUGGGAUAUUGAUAAGGGGUACUGAAUGGUAAUAAACAUGUGCUCUAGCUCUGUGCUAGUCAGCUUAUUUCAGAACUCUAGUUUGAUUCAGUUUCUUGCCUCUGACUCAAAAUGGAGGGAGAGUGAUUUUUACAUAAGAGAACACACCCACAUAUCCUUUUGGCAGCAGCUACCUGCCAGAGAUGUUGAAGAAGAGUAGCCAACCUUUACACAGCAGAUAUUGUGUGCCAGUCAUAGUCCUAAGUAUAAUACCUUACAUGUAUAAACUUCUUAUAAGGUUGGUGCUCUGUACCGAAUUGAAUAGUAUCCCCCAAAAUUCAUGUUGUCCCAGAACCUAUGAAAGUGAUCUUACUU
rnacentral:lncRNA from 1 species